GACGAACGCUGGCGGCGUGCCUAAUACAUGCAAGUCGAGCGGACGGAUGGGAGCUUGCUCCCAGACCGUCAGCGGCGGACGGGUGAGUAACACGUGGGCAACCUGCCUGUAAGACUGGGAUAUCUCCGGGAAACCGGGGCUAAUACCGGAUAACUCUUUCCCUCACAUGAGGGAAAGCUGAAAGAUGGCAUCUCGCUAUCACUUACAGAUGGGCCCGCGGCGCAUUAGCUAGUUGGUGAGGUAACGGCUCACCAAGGCGACGAUGCGUAGCCGACCUGAGAGGGUGAUCGGCCACACUGGGACUGAGACACGGCCCAGACUCCUACGGGAGGCAGCAGUAGGGAAUCUUCCGCAAUGGACGAAAGUCUGACGGAGCAACGCCGCGUGAGUGAUGAAGGUUUUCGGAUCGUAAAACUCUGUUGUCAGGGAAGAACAAGUACCGGAGUAACUGCCGGUACCUUGACGGUACCUGACCAGAAAGCCACGGCUAACUACGUG
rnacentral:rRNA from 1 species